GAUGGUAUAACCUUAUCAAGGGUACGACACAACGUCUGCGCUGCAUUGCUCAGUCCAAAUGGCAUCACUUUGAAUUGGUAAAGUGGCUUACCUGGGACUGCAAAGGCUGUUUUUGGCCGCGACUUUUCUUCUAAUGGUAUUUGCCAAUAUGCGUCCUUGAGAUCAAUGCCUGAGAUGUAGUGUGUAUCCUUUAUUCGGCUCAAUAGACCAUCAAUGUGCGGCAUGGGGUACGCAUCUUUUACUGUGACUGCAUUUACCUUACGAAAGUCUAAACACAAUCUAACUUUGCCAGGCUUUCUUACCAAAACCAAUGGGCAACACCAUGGAGAAUUACACUCCUCAAUAACCCCAAGCUCUAACAUGCGGUCUAAUUCUUUAUAAACUUCCUCUUGUCGGACGGGAGACAAUGGGUAGUGUCUUGAUUUGAUUGGUGCCGCUUCACCAGUAUCAAUGACGUGAAUGCCAACGUGAGUUUUUCCUAGACCCAGUUCGACAAAAUUCGGGAACAACUUUUUUGUUGCCUCUAACUGCAUUUUCUGUUCUGGGGAAAGUUCAAUUAAUUUUGCUUCAUCUUUAAUAUUAACCUCUUUUUCAUCGUCAUCGACAUUAGCUUGUAUUUCACCGAUUUGAGGUAAUAAAUUAAACUCCCUCCAGAAGUUCAUGCCUAAAUAAAGUGUCUGGGUGAGGUUUGGGACCAGGUAGAAAGUAAGAUUUUUAGAAACACCAUUAUAUUUUGUGGAUAUUUUACAAAAUCCAAUUAUAUUAUGAGCUUUUCCGUCUGCGGUGCUAACUUUAUUUUCGUAAGAUGUUACCUUUACUCCUAUUCGCUUUACUAAAUCCAAGCACUCUUUGCCUAGUACUGAAAUUGAUGCACCGCUAUCCAAUAAUCCGAAAAUAGAUUCAUUUUCUAGUAAAACGUUGGCGUACAUUCUACCAUCUGAUUCAGAAGAAAUAAUUGAAUCAAGAAUUAGUUUUCUAACUUUCCUUCUGUUCCUAUACCUAUUCCUACAUUUUUGAACUUUUUUAUCAACUAAACUUUGUUUUGUUCCCAUUAUUCUAGCACGCGCUUUUUCAUAAGUCAUUUUUCUAUCGUGAAGAGACUUCAGAUCAUAAGUGUGGACUGGGUGACUAGAAAUUUCCGGAGGUACUUCACGCUUGAGAACCUUGGUUGGAUUGGACUCUACCUUACUGUCUUUUUCUUCUAACAAUUGGGAAUUUUCUCCUUGGUCUUGUUGAGAGCAGGAGUUAUCAGAGAAACUUUUCAUAAAUUGUUAAAGAGAUGAGGGUGACUAAACUAUAAAAGGACUGAAGACCUAAGAAUGAGAAGAUGCCGUAGUCUUCUGAGCCAAGAUAAAAAAAUUAAAUAAACUAGUGGACAACAACAGACAACUUUUCAUCUGAGAAGACUCUAAGAAAAAUAAAAUAAAAGGAUCUACUGAGAAUCAGCUGAAAGGACUUUCGAGAACGCUCCCGCAUUACGAGUCUUCUUCCAACCUACAUCUCCAAGCAAGGGCUAAAUUGUUCGGCUUUGUGAAUACCUUAAUAGAUUUUCCACAGACUCAAACUGUUAAGCCUUUCUUGUAUUUUAAAUGUUUUUGGUGUGAAUUACCAUGUGGCAACGCGAUACCGAAACCAUACCAUCAGUCAUCGGGACUCACAGGCAGACAUCACCAAAUAUUAUAAAAAUUAAGCAAAGUUAAAAAAAAACUAAAAAAAUCAAAAAAUAAAAAAAUUUAAAUUUAAACUAAACUGCAAUCAAAUCUUGAAGUGGCUCAAAAAUCUUGGCCUCACUAUUUCGCAAUAGUGGGCAACAAUCACGUUGGGCGCCAUUUUGUAACAGGUUUGUUUGGGUACCGAAGAUCUUUGCUGGUAUGCUGGUCGCUACUGUAGCUCGUCGGUGGGUGUGGUUCUUUGAUCUUCAACCUUAUUACAAAAAAAUAAAUAUCAUACCAGUCUAAUGUAUCUUUAGAUGUUGAAGAUACGCGAGACAAUUUUCUCACCCUCCCUUCCAUAGUCGCCGUACUCGCCUAGACGACCCUUAAAAUUGGCAUCUUCUUAUCUUCAGUACUUCCUCCUACUUACUUUGUCCCCCCCAUCUCUUUAUGUUAAAACUUACUCCAUCUUCAUUCUUUUAACUUUUCAGAUUUCAUUUAAAGAAAAAUAAAUAGUUUUGCAUUUCAUUAAGAUCAUCAUUUUAUUCUAAGUUUAUCAUUAUCAAAAUUAUUUAAUAUUAAUGCAAAUUUCAAUAAUUUUAGU